AUGAACGCUGGCGGCGUGCCUAAUACAUGCAAGUCGAGCGAACGGACGAGAAGCUUGCUUCUCUGAUGUUAGCGGCGGACGGGGAAGUAACACGUGGAUAACCUACCUAUAAGACUGGGAUAACUUCGGGAAACCGGAGCUAAUACCGGAUAAUAUUUUGAACCGCAUGGUUCAAAAGUGAAAGACGGUCUUGCUGUCACUUAUAGAUGGAUCCGCGCUGCAUUAGCUAGUUGGUAAGGUAACGGCUUACCAAGGCAACGAUGCAUAGCCGACCUGAGAGGGUGAUCGGCCACACUGGAACUGAGACACGGUCCAGACUCCUACGGGAGGCAGCAGUAGGGAAUCUUCCGCAAUGGGCGAAAGCCUGACGGAGCAACGCCGCGUGAGUGAUGAAGGUCUUCGGAUCGUAAAACUCUGUUAUUAGGGAAGAACAUAUGUGUAAGUAACUGUGCACAUCUUGACGGUACCUAAUCAGAAAGCCACGGCUAACUACGUG
rnacentral:rRNA from 1 species